GAUGAACGCUGGCGGCGUGCCUAAUACAUGCAAGUAGAACGCUGAAGGAGGAGCUUGCUCUUCUGGAUGAGUUGCGAACGGGUGAGUAACGCGUAGGUAACCUGCCUGGUAGCGGGGGAUAACUAUUGGAAACGAUAGCUAAUACCGCAUGACAACAGUUAUUGCAUGAUAACUGUUUAAAAGGGGCAACUGCUCCACUACCAGAUGGACCUGCGUUGUAUUAGCUAGUUGGUGAGGUAACGGCUCACCAAGGCGACGAUACAUAGCCGACCUGAGAGGGUGAUCGGCCACACUGGGACUGAGACACGGCCCAGACUCCUACGGGAGGCAGCAGUAGGGAAUCUUCGGCAAUGGACGGAAGUCUGACCGAGCAACGCCGCGUGAGUGAAGAAGGGUUUCGGAUCGUAAAGCUCUGUUGUAAGAGAAGAACGAGUGUGAGAGUGGAAAGUUCACACUGUGACGGUAUCUGACCAGAAAGGGACGGCUAACUACGUG
rnacentral:rRNA from 1 species